rnacentral:rRNA from 1 species
AGCGAACGCUGGCGGCAGGCUUAACACAUGCAAGUCGAGCGGGCACUUUUGGGUGUCAGCGGCGGACGGGUGAGUAACGCGUGGGAACGUGCCCUCUGGUUCGGAAUAACUCAGGGAAACUUGAGCUAAUACCGGAUACGCCCUUUUGGGGAAAGGCUUGCUGCCGGAGGAUCGGCCCGCGUCUGAUUAGCUAGUUGGUGAGGUAACGGCUCACCAAGGCGACGAUCAGUAGCUGGUCUGAGAGGAUGAUCAGCCACACUGGGACUGAGACACGGCCCAGACUCCUACGGGAGGCAGCAGUGGGGAAUAUUGGGCAAUGGGCGCAAGCCUGAUCCAGCCAUGCCGCGUGAGUGAUGAAGGCCUUAGGGUUGUAAAGCUCUUUUAUCCGGGACGAUAAUGACGGUACCGGAGGAAUAAGCCCCGGCUAACUUCGUG